UCAAAGGGGCUCAAAAUCAAUAAUUUUAAAGGCCGUGGUGAGCCGGUUGCAAGUUUAACGGUGUAGAAAUAUCCAAAUCACAUGAAAUUUUGAUAGAAAAUUUUUUAUACCAUAUAAAACAAGAUCAAUAACUUUGAUCUAAAAUUUUAAUGUCAUAUCAUCAUAUUUUGUAAGAUUUUAAUUUUCAGCCGUUGAUUUUGAGCCACUUCGAUCACUAGGC
rnacentral:lncRNA from 1 species